GACGAACGCUGGCGGCGUGCCUAAUACAUGCAAGUCGAGCGGACUUAAAAAGCUUGCUUUUUAAGUUAGCGGCGGACGGGUGAGUAACACGUGGGCAACCUGCCUGUAAGACUGGGAUAACUUCGGGAAACCGGAGCUAAUACCGGAUAAUCCUUUUCUACUCAUGUAGAAAAGCUGAAAGACGGUUUACGCUGUCACUUACAGAUGGGCCCGCGGCGCAUUAGCUAGUUGGUGAGGUAACGGCUCACCAAGGCGACGAUGCGUAGCCGACCUGAGAGGGUGAUCGGCCACACUGGGACUGAGACACGGCCCAGACUCCUACGGGAGGCAGCAGUAGGGAAUCUUCCGCAAUGGACGAAAGUCUGACGGAGCAACGCCGCGUGUGUGAUGAAGGUUUUCGGAUCGUAAAACUCUGUUGUUAGGGAAGAACAAGUACGAGAGUAACUGCUCGUACCUUGACGGUACCUAACCAGAAAGCCACGGCUAACUACGUG
rnacentral:rRNA from 1 species